rnacentral:misc_RNA from 1 species
AACGCACAUUGCGCCUUGUGGUAUUCCACAGGGCAUGCCUGUUUGAGCGUCAUUUCUCUCUCACUAACGUGGUUUUGUUGUAUCUCUCUCUUUUUUUAUUAGAGAGAGUGCAAUGAAAGGAAAUGGCAGUGCUUCGAAGUUUGCCAAACGUGUUCUAGGUUGUACCAACUACACUAGUAAGCGCUUCAAUAAGCCGGCUUGAUAAACCUUUUAUUAAGUUUGACCUCAAAUCAGGUAAGAAUACCCGCUGAACUUAA